CCUUCUUUGUUCUGCUUUCCUCUCCUGGUGUUUGGUUUUGCAGGUUCGCGUGGAGAGAUCAGUGAAGAUCUCGAAGGGCGGCGUUGAGCUUUGCUCUGGUGCUUGGAAUUUGCUCUGGAAUCGAGGCCUGCUCUGGCUGUGAGCUCCGCUCUGGCGUUGUGCUUCGCUGCAUCCAUUACUCUGGCGCGGCUUCUCUGCUCU
rnacentral:lncRNA from 1 species